UACAGAGGUCCCAAGCGUUGUUCGGAUUCACUGGGCGUAAAGGGUGCGUAGGCGGUCUGAUAAGUCAUCUGUGAAAUCUAUGGGCUCAACUCAUAGUCUGCAUCGGAAACUGCCGGGCUUGAGUAUGGGAGAGGUGAGUGGAAUUCCUGGUGUAGCGGUGAAAUGCGUAGAUAUCAGGAGGAACACCUGUGGCGAAAGCGGCUCACUGGACCAUAACUGACGCUGAUGCACGAAAGCUAGGGGAGCAAACAGG
rnacentral:rRNA from 1 species